AUCAAAGGAGCAAUCCGCUGAAAGAUGGACUCGCGUCCGAUUAGAUAGUUGGCGGGGUAACGGCCCACCAAGUCGACGAUCGGUAGCCGGACUGAGAGGUUGAUCGGCCACAUUGGGACUGAGACACGGCCCAGACUCCUACGGGAGGCAGCAGUGAGGGAUAUUGGGCAAUGGGGGAAACCCUGACCCAGCAACGCCGCGUGAGGGAUGACGGUUUUCGGAUUGUAAACCUCUGUCCUCUGUGAAGAUAGUGACGGUAGCAGAGGAGGAAGCUCCGGCUAACUACGUGCCAGCAGCCGCGGUAAUACGUAGGGAGCAAGCGUUGUCCGGAUUUACUGGGUGUAAAGGGUGCGUAGGCGGAUUGGCAAGUCAGAAGUGAAAUCCAUGGGCUUAACCCAUGAACUGCUUUUGAAACUGUUAGUCUUGAGUGAAGUAGAGGUAGGCGGAAUUCCCGGUGUAGCGGUGAAAUGCGUAGAGAUCGGGAGGAACACCAGUGGCGAAGGCGGCCUACUGGGCUUUAACUGACGCUGAGGCACGAAAGUGUGGGUAGCAAACAGGAUUAGAUACCCUGGUAGUCCACACUGUAAAC
rnacentral:rRNA from 1 species